rnacentral:lncRNA from 1 species
CUUGUAUACUCAUGCAAUACGAGAAAUGUACUUGAGAAAUACAAGCUAAAGUUACGUGACAUGCUAACAUAAACGUAGGAAGAAUGCAGAAAAAUGAGAACAUAGUUUAUUCUCAGUGCACCACAGAAGAUGGCUGUUCUUUAUUCUAUCCCAAAUUUCAGUUACUGCCAGAUUUUUAAAAAUUAAUUCCAACAAAUGGCAAGUGUUUAAGAGGAUUGUUAAGAGAUUGAUCUAGACUAUUCUAUGCGAAGCAGAAAUCCACUGGGCUCCUUGAAGUUCUUUCUAGAUGUCUUUUCUGUAGCAGAAACAGUG